rnacentral:tRNA from 1 species
CGAUCUAUUGCUAAAUUGGUAAAGGUAUCGCCGAUGACAGGUGAGGGUGUGGGUUUGAAUCCCGCUAGAACGG